AGAUGAGCCAGUACCAGUGCUAAACAUUGUCAGUGGAUAGACGAGGAACACAGAGGUUAGUGAUGUAAACAACAGCAGGUUUAUUGAAUGCAGAUGAAACCACAACACAGCAGAGAAAGCAGUCCAGGUGAUCCAGUAACCAAUAAGCAUGGAGACAAUGCAGAGCAGGGGCUGAGGAGAACCAGGAUGGGUGGUGUGAACAACGGGUGAGUAGAGCACAGAUGUGACAAUAAAAAAAUUUCCAAACACCUGUUCCAAAGAGAUCCCAAGAGAUACAAGAAACACAUGGGGGGCGUUGACCUGUCUGAUCAGCUGAUACUGUAGCGAAUUACAGGAGUUUCAGUUCGUGCGGCUGGAGCGAUUUGUCCUUUUCCAAGAAAGGAUUCUUCAGCGGGAUUUUCAAACGGGUUUAACUGAAGAGUAAGAAAGUAAAGAAGAAAGAGUCCAUCUCCUAGGCGAUGAAGAGUGAAGACUUCGGGCGACGGAUAAAGAAGGCUUGACAAAAGAAAACUUGUGCCAAAAAGAUGGUCAUCCCGAAGAAGAGGAGCGUGUGAUGGAAGCACGGUCGUCGAGAUGUCCGGGAGAGACGUGCGUGAAAUGGCGAGGGACAAUUGAGAGACAAUCGAGAGACAAAGGGAACGUGCGUGGUUUGGCGUUUUAAAGACAAACAAGCCCAAAAUGCCUCCUUGGGUGAACAGCCAAUGUCCAGCGUGGAUUUUUAGGAGGGAAAAGUUCUCUUUGUCUUGUCUUGCGGCUCAUUUUGCAUAAUUUAUGAUGGUUUCAGAAUUGGUAACUUUUACUCCAAAAGACCUUAGAAAUAGACUAAUGCAUGGUAUCGUAACAGAACAUGCAUAGUUAAUUAAAGCAUCCUGACAGAAUUCGUUUAAGACCAAACAUGCCAGGGUGCAAAAGACAUAAAGACAUAGAUACAAUCUUACACUCACAUAUAAAGGUUUGGGGUAUAAUUCACACAACUAUAGUCGUAACUUAAUAUUAAAUACAUGAUUAAAACUAGAAUACAGGCUUACAGGAUCACAUUUUAAUCAUAUUUUAAUGAAUGUGACUUAAAGAGAGUCCUGGUAUGUUACUCCGUGUGUGCGCGUAUGUGUAUUGGAGUUUGACGAUGUCUGGAAUGUGGCCGCAUGGCUCACAGUAAUCCGAUCUGAGUUGACCACGAUCGUUUGAAGUCACAAGGGAGAGAAUCGGGGAUCCAUCGAUACGGCCAUAAAAUGUGUCAAGUGAGCUGUUAAUGUCAGCCAGGCCGGAGCCAAUGUGAGAUUUACAAACAAAAGAUCGAGAAGGUAACACUUUAACGAAGUUUAUAGUUGACUUGCUCAUCUGAUCCUGCACAGACGCUACAAUACAGUACUAAACACAGCACAAAACCAUGAUGUGGUACAGAAAGAUUUUUCUGCACUUCUUUGACUUGUUUCCACCAACUCUUUCAUUUUGCACAAAUAGCUGCAUAGUAACAUGUCCCAUAAAGAGUUUAUGGAGCAACAGAAAUUAUUCUAAUAUGCUGAUUUGAUACUCAGUUAUUAUCAGUGUUGGAAACAAUUAUAAUGGUAUAUCACUGACUGGAAGCAGGAAUCUUUUUCUCCAGUGCAAAGAAACACCAAACACCUUGGAAUGCCAGCUAAAUGAUGUUCACUUAUAUCUUUGAACAGGAUUUAUUUCCAGAUAAAACUGUAUACUCAAAAUGUGCCCUCAUUUAUUCAAAAUGUGUUUCAUUUAUAUUGUUAACUCUAUUCUGAAUAAACUACCAGAAAAAACUACUUUGAUGAAUUUUCCCUCACAUAGCCUUCCUACCUGAAAGAGCUCAUUAGGCGGCUCAUCAUGCGGGUCUUUGUCUUUUCAGGUGUGAA